AUACUCAGUUCAGUAGCACAUGUACUAAAAUUGGAAUGAGACAAAGAUUAGCAUGGAUUCUGUCCAAGAAUGACACACAAAGUCAGGAAAUGUUCCAUGUUUUU
ensembl:snRNA U6 U6 spliceosomal RNA